GGCGUUGUGGCUGAGUGGUAAAGCACUUGGCUUCCAAACCAGAGGUCCCGGGUUCAAAUCCUGUAGAAGACA
rnacentral:tRNA from 1 species